rnacentral:rRNA from 1 species
UACGUAGGGUGCAAGCGUUGUCCGGAAUUAUUGGGCGUAAAGAGCUCGUAGGUGGCCUGUCGCGUCGGCUGUGAAAACUCGGGGCUCAACUCCGAGCUUGCAGUCGAUACGGGCAGGGCUAGAGUUCGGCAGGGGAGACUGGAAUUCCUGGUGUAGCGGUGAAAUGCGCAGAUAUCAGGAGGAACACCGGUGGCGAAGGCGGGUCUCUGGGCCGAUACUGACACUGAGGAGCGAAAGCGUGGGGAGCGAACAGG